rnacentral:misc_RNA from 1 species
UACGAAGGGGGCCAGCGUUGUUCGGCUUUACUGGGCGUACAGCGCACGUAGGCGGUUUGUUAAGUCAGCGGUGAAAUCCCGGAGCUCAACUCCGGAACUGCCUUUGAUACUGGCAAGCUAGAGUCCGGAAGAGGUGAGUGGAACUCCUAGUGUAGAGGUGGAAUUCGUAGAUAUUAGGAAGAACACCAGUGGCGAAGGCGGCUCACUGGUCCGGUACUGACGCUGAGGUGCGAAAGCGUGGGGGGCAAACAGG